UGUAACAACGAGCAACAAAGAUGAGAAGUUUAUUUGGCAAAAAAGUAACAACAACAACCAUUCUUUCAUUUUGUAGUCUGUCUCUUAUAGCCUAAACUCUUGUUAGUUUUUUUUAAGAAAUUAUUAUUGUUUAUUCUUUAUUGAUAAAGUAGAUAGAAAUGGAUGUCGAUAUAGAAUCAAUGUGCAGACUAUGUGCUUCUAAAAAUGGGUUCAAAGUAAAUCUGUUUGAAAAAAGACUUGGAUACAUUGAUAAAAUUAAGAGAUUUAUUCCUUCUUUAAAAAUUCCCCAAGAUGACAAACUUCCAUCUAUGAUAUGCUUUCGUUGCGCGAUGCUUAUUGGCGAUUUCGAAAAGUUCUGUUUAAAUUGUGUAAAAGUGCAAGAAACGUUCUUGAAAAUGAAAGACGACCAAACUGUAAGUUGUUUUUUUUUAAUGAAAUAAGUCACACUUUUACAUAAAA